rnacentral:rRNA from 1 species
ACGGAAGGCAGCAGUGGGGAAUAUUGGGCAAUGGGCGAAAGCCUGACCCAGCAACGCCGCGUGAAGGAAGAAGGUCUUCGGAUUGUAAACUUCUUUUAUGAGGGACGAAGGACGUGACGGUACCUCAUGCAUAAGCCACGGCUAACUACGUGCCAGCAGCCGCGGUAAUACGUAGGUGGCAAGCGUUAUCCGGAUUUACUGGGUGUAAAGGGCGCGUAGGCGGGGAUGCAAGUCAGAUGUGAAAUCUAUGGGCUUAACUCAUAAACUGCAUUUGAAACUGUAUCUCUUGAGUGUCGGAGAGGUAGAUGGAAUUCCUUGUGUAGCGGUGAAAUGCGUAGAUAUAAGGAAGAACACCAGUGGCGAAGGCGAUCUACUGGACGAUAACUGACGCUGAGGCGCGAAAGCGUGGGGAGCAAACAGGAUUAGAUACCCUGGUA